CACGUAGGGCGCAAGCGUUGUCCGGAAUUAUUGGGCGUAAAGAGCUCGUAGGCGGUCUGUUGCGUCCGCUGUGAAAACUCGGGGCUUAACCCCGAGCCUGCAGUGGAUACGGGCAGACUAGAGGUAGGUAGGGGAGAAUGGAAUUCCCGGUGUAGCGGUGAAAUGCGCAGAUAUCGGGAGGAACACCAGUGGCGAAGGCGGCUACCUGGCCCACUCUUGACGCUGAGGCGCGAAAGCUAGGGGAGCAAACGGG
rnacentral:rRNA from 1 species